GUGCCUCUCGUAGCGCCCAAGCGUGCUCCAAGCCCCUUGAGCCUAUUUUCACCACCAGGGAGCCUUACCCGUUUCUGGCGUGCAGGCCCGCGAUGUCGGCGGGAAGCCCGAUGAUCUGGCGCGGCACCCACUUGAGACCUUUGUCUCAAGGACCCGGGCAAGCUGACGGCGCCGCGGGGGGCACC
rnacentral:other from 1 species